GCAAGUCGGAGUCCUCGGGCUCCCCGGGCCACACACUUCUUCAUAUGCCCAUAGGGAGCUGCCCGAACUAUGGAAUGUUAAGAAGUGUGUGUUCUUGGGGGCUACCACCUGCGCCCAGCCCU
rnacentral:pre_miRNA from 13 species